CACAACCAUUGAUUAGCACCGGCUAAAACAUAACAUCAAGCUGUUGUGACCAGCCGCCAUAACCCACCACCUCAAAUCACGUUGACACCACCCUAGCCACCAUAGUUCCCACCACGAAUCGAUCCUCGAUUGUGAACCACCCAAGAUCACGCCACCAUUACCAACCAUGAUAUAAGACUUGGCCUUAUAUAGCCUAAAUCACGAUUUUUAACUAGUUCUGUAAGCACUUCCCUGUUGCAUGAAAGGUUUUCGACAAUUUGUCCCAAUAAAACACACAAUUUAAAAGAAGACAUCUCUCUCUCUCUCUCUCUCUCACACACACACACACACAAAAAAAAAAAAAAAAACAGCUGAAAGCUUGAGUUGAAUUUGCUACUAAUAAAUCAAACUCUGAAUGUGGUCGUCAGCUAUGAUGGUUCAGUGAAUUAAUGAUAAUAAUUAUAAUAAUGUUGGGUAUCGCAGCUUCAAUAAGAGGAGGCGUAGGCAUUGGUCGCCGGCUUAGCUUCGCUAUCAGAAAGGAAUCUUUAACUUGGUACCGUAAUCUACUAGUUCAAAACCAGUCGGACAGUUUUAAUUACACACCAUCUGCUGUCUGCUGUUUUUUAUGGGCAGAAAGACCUGGUGUUUUUCUUGAAAAUUUUGCUAGGCAUAUGAGCACUGCAUCAUUGGAGCUGAGGACGGACAAUGAUUUUGUUAGAUUUUCGAUUACUAAGGAUGGGUAUUCAGCAAAAGAGAAGAAAAGUAUGAAAAAGGUGCCCAGAUAUGUUAAAAUGUCGAAAAAGGCGAAACUUAAUGAACUCCGGUUCUAUCGCCUCAAGGCCAAAAAGAAGAUGAAUUCUCCGAAUCCUGAAGUUAGGAUUAGAUAUAAACUUGAAAAGGCCAGAAGGAAGGAAGCAUGGUUGAUUGAAAAGCUCAGGAAACUUGAAGUCCCCAAAACCCCAGGUGAAGCAUAUGAUCCUGAAAUAUUAACAGAAGAGGAGAAGCAUUACCUCAAGCGUACUGGCGAGAAGAAGAAAAACUACGUUCCAGUUGGCCGACGAGGGGUUUUUGGAGGCGUUGUUCUCAAUAUGCAUCUUCAUUGGAAGAAGCACGAAACCGUCAAGGUUACUUGCAAACCUUGCAAGCCAGGCCAAAUUCAUGAAUAUGCUGAAGAGCUUGCUCGACUUAGCAAAGGGAUCAUUAUUGACAUAAGACCUGACAACACCAUUAUUUUCUACAGGGGAAAGAACUAUGUGCAGCCAAAAAUCAUGUCCCCUCCAGAUACCCUAUCUAAAGAUAAAGCCCUGGAAAAAUAUAGGUACGAGCAGUCGCUUGAGCAUACAAGUCAGUUCAUUGAGAAAUUGGAGAAAGAGCUUGAAAAUUAUCAGGAGCAUGUUGUUCGUUACAAGAAUAGGAAAGAAGCUGCAGGAGACAUUACGAUUGCUGAUGAUGGACUCUCUCAAAUAACAAAUCAAAGUUGACUUUUCUACAUUAAGUGGAUAGAACCUUCUGCUGAUUAUGAGACGGAAUUUUGCCUCAUGGAACAGAUCAGACAUGAAGCAAAAAAAAUAGAAGAUGACCAACUGUAAUGCAAAUUUGAGUGGAUCAGAUGAGAGAGAGUAGCUGUACAAAACGAGCAUCCUUUUUAAGAGAGUAGCUUACCGUAAUUUCUCCCAUGUUCAGUAAGCCAGUAACGUUAGAGGACCCCUAAUUUAUCUGCCGGGUACUUUCAUUUCUCCCAUUUUUAUUUUAAAGGGAAAAAUCUCAAUUUAGUGCCUAAUUUUGAGUGACAAAACAGGUUCAUAAUGUUUCAGACAUUUGUCUACUGGGUACUUUCAUUAGAUCAA